rnacentral:tmRNA from 1 species
AGAUUGGACUAAGCAUGUAGUGCCGACGGUGUAGUAAUUUCGGACGGGG